CCAGAAGCAGUUUUCAUUCAAAUAUUUCUCCACUUAUUUUUAACCCCCGGGAGCCCUCUAGUGUCCUGUUUAGAAACAGACUCUUGGAAUUCAAAGGCAUUUGAGAGGGUUUGCUUAGCAGCAGUAGAAUAAAGGCCUCCUGAGAUGAAUGCCAUCACCCCAGAGGCCUGGGAUUAGAGCAUCGGAGUUCCCAGGGACUCACCUUUUCAUCCUGGCUGUGGCCAGAGUCACAUUGAUCUCCCACCUCUUCUGAGAAGUGGCCUAGAAAUUCAUAAAAAGAUUCUUUCCCUUGUAGGUUAUUACUCAGUGUUCAGUAGAGUUCCCUGUGCUAUUCAACAGGUCUGAUAUUAAAAGUUCAGAAAUAAAUGAGGAACCAUCCAAGCAGAUUGAGGAAGCCUUCAGAUUAUGCGAGGAAAACCAGGAAGAGGGAUGUUCUGAAGACAUGUCAAUGAAAAACAUCAAAGAAAAGAUCACUGUGACAGUCCCGCUGAAGGGUCACAGAAGAAGUGACUAAGGAUUAGUCAUCGAUUUAGCAAUGUGGCUGACAUCGGUGAUGUUGACAGUUUCCAUGAAGCGAUGGCGCUCAAGGCAAAAGUCACAUUUAAGCUGGGAAUGCCAGCACAGGAAUCAGAGAUUAAGUGGGACACUGUCCUGGAAACAGAGGAUCCUAAGACACAAUCCCUUAAGGCUCUGGUUCCUCCAGAUCCCUAACCUGGACCACACUGUAGACUUUAAAUAUGUCCUAAGACACAAUCCCUUAAGGCUCUGAUUCCUCCGGGUCCCUAAUGCCUCAUAAGCCGCACCUUCCCCCCAACCCCUGCAUUGGAAGAACAGGGGCUGGGAGGCUAUUUGAUAAACUAAGCACUGUUUGCGC
ensembl:lncRNA